AUUGAACGCUGGCGGCAGGCCUAACACAUGCAAGUCGAACGGCAGCGGGGGGUAGCUUGCUACCCUGCCGUCGAGUGGCGGACGGGUGAGUAAUGCAUGGGGAGCUGCCCAGUCGAGGGGGAUAACAACUGGAAACGGUUGCUAAUACCGCAUACGCCCUCAGGGGGACAGGUGGGGAUCGUCGGUCCUACCGUCAUGGGAUGCGCCCAUGUGGGCUUAGAUAGUUGGUGAGGUAACGGCACACCAAGGCGACGAGCUCUAGCUGGUCUUAGAGGAUGACCAGCCACACUGGAACGGAGACACGGUCCAGACUCCUACGGGAGGAAGCAGUGGGGAAUAUUGCACAAUGGGGGAAACCCUGAUGCAGCCAUGCCGCGUGUGUGAAGAAGGCCUUCGGGUUGUAAAGCACUUUCAGUCAGGAGGAAGGGGUGAUAGCUAAUAUCCAUCAUCAUUGACGUUACUGACAGAAGAAGCACCGGCUAACUCCGUGCCAGCAGCCGCCGUAA
rnacentral:rRNA from 1 species